AUUCCAGCUCCAAUAGCGUAUACUAAAGUUGUUGCGGUUAAAAAGCUCGUAGUUGAAUUUCUGGAUGUGAAAGGUGGUCGGCACCUCACGGUGUCUGUACUUAUCAUUCGCGUCCAUCCUCGGGAGGAACAUGUGGACACUUAAGUGGGUCUGCUUGGGAAUCUCGUCAUUUACUGUGAGCAAAAUAGAGUGUUCAAAGCAGGCUUAUGCCGUUGAAUAUAUUAGCAUGGAAUAAUAAGAUACGACUUUGGUCUAUUUUGUUGGUUUACAUUCCAAAGUAAUGAUUAAUAGGGAUAGUUGGGGGUAUUCGUAUUCAAUUGUCAGAGGUGAAAUUCUUGGAUUUAUGGAAGACGAACUACUGCGAAAGCAUUUACCAAGGAUGUUUUCAUCA
rnacentral:rRNA from 1 species